rnacentral:rRNA from 1 species
GUACACGCUGUGACUAGUAUAUCAAUAAGCGGAGGAAAAGAAACUAACAAGGAUUCCCCUAGUAACGGCGAGUGAAGCGGGAAGAGCUCAAAUUUGAAAUCUUAAAGGGUUUCCCUUUACGAAUUGUAGUUUAAAGAAGUGUUUUCUGUUGAGGUUUUGGUAAAAGUUCUUUGGAAUAGGACAUCAUAGAGGGUGAGAAUCCCGUAUUUGACCUUUACUUUCAACUUUGUGAUACACUUUCAAAGAGUCGGAUUGUUUGGGAAUGCAGUCCAAAAUGGGUGGUAAAUUUCAUCUAAAGCUAAAUAUUGGCGAGAGACCGAUAGCGAACAAGUACCGUGAGGGAAAGAUGAAAAGAACUUUGAAAAGAGAGUUAAACAGUACGUGAAAUUGUCAAAAGGGAAGCGUUUGACACCAGUGUUGUUUUUCUGAAAAUCAAUUAAAGAACUGUUUAUGCUAAGUUGUUUAGACUUUAUCAGCUAUCUGUUUAGUUUUAGGCUUUUCUUUAAUGCACUUUUCAGUUAACAAGUCAACAUCAAUUUCUUUUGCUGUAAAAAAGCUUGAGGAAGGUGGCUUGAGAUUCGUCUUAAGUGUUUAUAGCCUCUUGCCUAUGCAGUCGGAGAGAUUGAGGUCUGCAGCGUAGAUCCUUCGGGGCUAAAUGCAUUUGUGCUAAGUUAUAGCAUUUUAUAGACAACUUGUUGACUAUGAUUUGUCUUGUAGCUUACUCGCUUAUGUUAUUUUACCUACGCUUAGGAUGUUGAGUCGUAGAGCACGCAG